rnacentral:rRNA from 1 species
UACGUAGGGUGCGAGCGUUAAUCGGAAUUACUGGGCGUAAAGCGUGCGCAGGCGGUUUUGUAAGCCAGAUGUGAAAUCCCCGGGCUCAACCUGGGAAUGGCAUUUGGGACUGCAAGGCUGGAGUUUGGCAGAGGAGACUGGAAUUCCUGGUGUAGCAGUGAAAUGCGUAGAUAUCAGGAGGAAUACCGAUGGCGAAGGCGGCAUCCUGGACCGGCAUUGACGCUGAGGCGCGAAAGCCAGGGGAGCGAACAGG